rnacentral:sRNA from 1 species
AAAAUAUAUUCACAAUCACUAUCUUGGCUUCAGCUACGUUCUCUUGGUACAUAAAGCUUGUUUUCUCUAAGGCUAAAUAUGUAGUAUAUGUUGAAGAAACAGAGUGUCUGAAGUUCUACAGGCAUGUCUGAAACAACACAGAGCAGAACAGAUGAACAGAGGAAGCGGGAAAGUAGCAGUUGCUUUU